GACGAACUUUGGCGGCGUGCUUAACACAUGCAAGUCGAACGGUAAGGCUCCAGCUUGCUGGGGUACACGAGUGGCGAACGGGUGAGUAACACGUGGGUGACCUGCCCUGCACUUCGGGAUAAGCCUGGGAAACUGGGCCUAAUACCGGAUAGGACCGCACCGUGAGGGUGUGGUGGAAAGUUUUUUCGGUGUGGGAUGGGCCCGCGGCCUAUCAGCUUGUUGGUGGGGUAAUGGCCUACCAAGGCGGCGACGGGUAGCCGGCCUGAGAGGGUGGACGGCCACAUUGGGACUGAGACACGGCCCAGACUCCUACGGGAGGCAGCAGUGGGGAAUAUUGCACAAUGGGCGGAAGCCUGAUGCAGCGACGCCGCGUGGGGGAUGACGGCCUUCGGGUUGUAAACUCCUUUCACCAUCGACGAAGGGUUUCUGACGGUAGAUGGAGAAGAAGCACCGGCUAACUACGUGCCAGCAGCCGCGGUAAUACGUAGGGUGCGAGCGUUGUCCGGAAUUACUGGGCGUAAAGAGCUCGUAGGUGGUUUGUCGCGUCGUCUGUGAAAUUCCGGGGCUUAACUCCGGGCGUGCAGGCGAUACGGGCAUAACUUGAGUACUGUAGGGGAGACUGGAAUUCCUGGUGUAGCGGUGAAAUGCGCAGAUAUCAGGAGGAACACCGGUGGCGAAGGCGGGUCUCUGGGCAGUAACUGACGCUGAGGAGCGAAAGCAUGGGGAGCGAACAGGAUUAGAUACCCUGGUAGUCCAUGCCGUAAACGGUGGGCGCUAGGUGUGGGUUUCCUUCCACGGGAUCCGUGCCGUAGCUAACGCAUUAAGCGCCCCGCCUGGGGAGUACGGCCGCAAGGCUAAAACUCAAAGGAAUUGACGGGGGCCCGCACAAGCGGCGGAGCAUGUGGAUUAAUUCGAUGCAACGCGAAGAACCUUACCUGGGCUUGACAUAUACAGGAUCGCGCCAGAGAUGGUGUUUCCCUUGUGGCUUGUAUACAGGUGGUGCAUGGUUGUCGUCAGCUCGUGUCGUGAGAUGUUGGGUUAAGUCCCGCAACGAGCGCAACCCUUGUCUUAUGUUGCCAGCACGUUGUGGUGGGGACUCGUAAGAAACUGCCGGGGUUAACUCGGAGGAAGGUGGGGAUGACGUCAAAUCAUCAUGCCCCUUAUGUCCAGGGCUUCACACAUGCUACAAUGGUCGGUACAGUGGGUUGCCAGUCCGUGAGGGCGAGCUAAUCCCGCAAAGCCGGUCUCAGUUCGGAUCGGGGUCUGCAACUCGACCCCGUGAAGUCGGAGUCGCUAGUAAUCGCAGAUCAGCAACGCUGCGGUGAAUACGUUCCCGGGCCU
rnacentral:rRNA from 1 species